GGGGAAUAUUGGACAAUGGGCGAAAGCCUGAUCCAGCCAUGCCGCGUGUGUGAAGAAGGUCUUCGGAUUGUAAAGCACUUUAAGUUGGGAGGAAGGGCAGUAAGCGAAUACCUUGCUGUUUUGACGUUACCGACAGAAUAAGCACCGGCUAACUCUGUGCCAGCAGCCGCGGUAAUACAGAGGGUGCAAGCGUUAAUCGGAAUUACUGGGCGUAAAGCGCGCGUAGGUGGUUUGUUAAGUUGAAUGUGAAAUCCCCGGGCUCAACCUGGGAACUGCAUCCAAAACUGGCAAGCUAGAGUAGGGCAGAGGGUGGUGGAAUUUCCUGUGUAGCGGUGAAAUGCGUAGAUAUAGGAAGGAACACCAGUGGCGAAGGCGACCACCUGGGCUCAUACUGACACUGAGGUGCGAAAGCGUGGGGAGCAAAC
rnacentral:rRNA from 1 species